rnacentral:rRNA from 1 species
UACGUAGGGGGCAAGCGUUGUCCGGAUUCAUUGGGCGUAAAGAGCGUGUAGGCGGCCAGGUAGGUCGGUUGUGAAAACUGGAGGCUCAACCUUCAGACGUCGACCGAAACCAUCUGGCUAGAGUCCGGGAGAGGAGAGUGGAAUUCCUGGUGUAGCGGUGAAAUGCGCAGAUAUCAGGAAGAACACCGGUGGCGAAGGCGGUUCUCUGGGCAUGAUCUGACGCUGAGGAGCGAAAGUGUGGGGAGCGAACAGG